UACGGGGGGGGCGAGCGUUAUUCGGAAUUACUGGGCGUAAAGCGCACGUAGGCGGCGGCGUAAGUCUUGUGUGAAAUCCAACGGCUCAACCGCGGAACGGCAUUUGAAACUGCGUUGCUUGAGUCCGGGAGAGGAAAGUGGAAUUCCCAGUGUAGCGGUGAAAUGCGUAGAUAUUGGGAGGAACACCGGUGGCGAAGGCGGCUACCUGGCUCGGUUCUGACGCUGAGACGCGAAAGCGUGGGUAGCAAACAGG
rnacentral:rRNA from 1 species